UCUGGUGAUGAUGCUCUUAAUGGAUACACCCGUUCCCAUACCGAACACGAAGGUUAAGCAUUAGGAGGCCGAUAGUACUGCACGGGAAGCUGUGUGGGAGGGUAGGUGGUUGCCAGGU
rnacentral:rRNA from 1 species